rnacentral:lncRNA from 1 species
UUUUUCAGUUUCAGACAAACAGUGCGCGUCUUGCGCCACGAAGCUAACACCGCUAUGGAGAGACGCCGAAGACGGCACGCCGUUAUGUAACGCGUGCGGCAUCAGGUACAAGAAGUACAAAGUGCGCUGUACCCGCUGCUGGCACAUUCCCAGGAAGAAUGAUAACACCGGCGGCGACUGCAAGGAGUGCGGUGGCACACUGCGUUUCGUCGUGCGAAAGUCGACAAACUGAAAGUUGUUUUUUUUUUCUAUAUCAUUUUGCUUCGGGCAGCGUACCGCAAGCUACCUCUGUAUAAAGGCUAUGUGACACAUUCGCCGUGUACAUAUAAUGUUUGUUUUCCUGCAGAUGCUGAAGAAUACCUAAGCUCGUAAAAAAAUAUAUGUUCAAUAAACGUUUGUCGAUUAGUGA